rnacentral:rRNA from 1 species
GUCCUUUUGAAAAUAAUUUAAGGUCUAACCUGCCCACUGAGGAUUUAAAUGGCCGCGGUAUUUUGACCGUGCAAAGGUAGCAUAAUCAUUAGUUUUUUAAUUGAAAGCUGGAAUGAAAGGUUGGAUGAGAAAAUAGCUGUCUCUAUUUAAUUUAAUUAGAAUUUUAUUUUUAAGUUAAAAAGCUUAAAUUUAAUUAAAAGACGAGAAGACCCUAUAGAGUUUUAUAUUAUAAUUUUAAUAGAAUUUUUAGAAUUAAAUAUUAAUUAAUUAUUAUAAUAUUUGAUUGGGGUGAUUUAAAAAUUAAUUUAACUUUUUAUAAAUUUUUACAUUAAUAUAUGAUUAAUUGAUCCAUUAUUUAUGAUUAAAAGACAAAAUUACCUUAGGGAUAACAGCGUAAUUUUUUUAGAGAGUUCAAAUCGAAAAAAAAGAUUGCGACCUCGAUGUUGGAUUAAAAUUAAUUUUUGGUGUAGAAGCUAAAAAUCUUAGGUCUGUUCGACCUUUAAAAUUUUACA